UUACUUAAGAUCGUUGUCUGUGCAUAUUUCAUUGUCUAAUUUAGAACAAAAAAAGUAAAAGAUUCCUUUCUCCACUCAUCCAUUCAAGUGUAACUUCGACAAAGUGUAACUUUGAUAUGGCAAACAUGUACGUUGGUUUAGUGAAUUUGACAAUACUAGUAGAGUAUACAAUAAGAAACUGUUUAAAAUAAUAACAAUUAUAGCUAUUGGCUAUUGUCUUUGACGAUUGAGUUGAAUAUAUGCACAGACGAGGUGUAUACAUCAUAUAUAUACGAUAUAUAUAUAUAAUUCGUAUGCAAAUCGCAGAGGGCGUGUGAAACAGCUUGAUUUUUUCGAGGUCGGUAUUUCAGAACGUAAAAUACGAAAUUUCAUAGCUCAUGUCCAAAGCUGUGAAUAUAUUGAUCGUUUAUUGAUGAGAACAUAUUGUACGUAAUGGACGAUUCCACCAGAUUUGAAAUAAUGAAGACAGAUUUGAGUGUGAAAGCUGCAUGGUGGACAGCGAGGUUCACAUUAACGCUAACGAGUAUUAAUUACGAGUCACAGUGGCAUAAUAUCGCAGCAAGGGGGUUAUUGUUUAGCAUUGAGGCCGGCGCCGUCGCGGCGUCCUGACGAUAUCACGAAAGCACUUUGCACGCACCUUUCUCGCUGUUUGAGAUAUCUACGGGAUACUGAUAGUGUCGUGACCACUACGUUCCCUCGUUUC